AGAGUUUGAUCCUGGCUCAGGAUGAACGCUAGCGACAGGCUUAACACAUGCAAGUCGAGGGGCAGCACAGGGUAGCAAUACUUGGGUGGCGACCGGCGCACGGGUGAGUAACGCGUAUGCAACUUACCUAUCAGAGGGGGAUAGCCCGGCGAAAGUCGGAUUAAUACCCCAUGAAACAGGGGUCCCGCAUGGGAAUAUUUGUUAAAGAUUCAUCGCUGAUAGAUAGGCAUGCGUUCCAUUAGGCAGUUGGCGGGGUAACGGCCCACCAAACCGACGAUGGAUAGGGGGUUCUGAGAGGAAGGUCCCCCACAUUGGUACUGAGACACGGACCAAACUCCUACGGGAGGCA
rnacentral:rRNA from 1 species